UGGUGGGCACUCUAAGGAGACUGCCGGUGACAAACCGGAGGAAGGUGGGGACGAUGUCAAGUCAUCAUGGCCCUUACGGCCUGGGCU
rnacentral:rRNA from 1 species